GACAGCAUCCACAUCCACACUGGAAAGAUGCAGUUUGUGUCUGUGAGGAACAGAAAGGGGAGCAGCCAUUGCUGAAAGCACCCAAAAAAUUAAAAAUUAAAAAAAAAUAAAAAGAGAGAGAGAAGAAAAAAGAAGACGUUUUCUGGACUAUUACUUCUGGACGAAGAGGGAGGAGAGGGAUCCCUUGGAAUCUAUCUUGGGAGCUUUACAAAGUAAGAAAAGUUAUAAAUAAACUCCUAAUGACAAGAUCACACAUUUCAACUACAUCGGGAAAGUUCAGAAAGCCACUUUGAAGAUACUGUCUCUAGGGCUCCUGUUCUUUCUCGGAAGAAGACCAGGAUGCCUGUCUUCUCUCUCUCUCUCUCGCUCUUCUCGGAAUUCCAGGCACAAAGCACUGCGCAAAAGCUGCACCAAUCCUUGCCGCAACUGCCUGCCCAGGACAAGAGGUGGGGAGAGACCAGAAAAUUCACCUCGCCCCUGCGCCGGUUUUAUAAAUGGGGAUUGCACAAAUGUGCCGGAGCAAAGGGGUGAAAAGGCAGGGUGCCAGUUUGCUACACUAGGCUGCAAUGAUCUCAUGUUCAAUGCUGUCGCCCCGUUUGCCCAGUUCAAACGCCUGUUCAUUAAACAGGAGGAAGGAGAAAAAAAAAAAAAAAAAAAAGAAAAAUAAAAAUAUAACAACUUUUAUCCUUCAGACACUCAGGAGGGCUGCUCUAAACUACACGUCACCAAUAAAAAAAUAAAACGUACAGUUCUAAAAUGCAGUUAUGAAGUAUAAUUAUUCUGCUUAUAUUUUCUUUCUUUCUUUUUUCUAUCUGGAGAUAAGAAGCAGAAUUUAUCAGGCGUGAAAGGGACAGCCUCCUGGUGGUGUGCCAAAAAAGCCAGAAUAAAGGCAAAGUUGUGCUUCAAAGCUCAAUUGCUUGCUGAGUCUGGCUAAAGUCAAGUAUUAAGAUCCACCAUUUUCUGAGCCAUGUAAGAAAAGAGGAAAAAAGUCAGAACGGGCACCGCUUUCCAAGUCUCCGUUGGCACCAUCACAAAAUCUCAGCCGUAAGGUCACAUGAUGCUCUGCCAAAUGUGGAGUGCAUUCCCAUAAACCAUUCUGCUGAUACUGCGAAGGCAGCUAUUGUCUAGUUUAUACCCAAAGUUCAGCCCACUCUUCAUUGAAUUAGCUGAAAAACGCAUCACCUUUGGGGGUUGGGAGCCAUGGAAACGUCUACCUGGCAGGCUGCCCACUUUUUCUGCCCAACAACCAGAGAUGGAAUUGUGCUGCCUAAUGUAAUGAUGACGAGGAAUGUGAAGAGUCGUCCAAAGUGAAUCUGAUUCUUGCAAAGCCUGCUUCAUUUGCACAGCAAACUCUGGCUUCUUGUCAUUAAAAAGGGGAGGGGGAAGGGUAGAAGAAAAAAAAAAAAAAAGCGCCUUUCUCCUAAAUGUAGCAAUUAAAGGUCUAGUAAACAUGCCUAGUCUGCAACUUUCCUUCAUAACAUACUGAAAUUGUUCCCAAAAUAAAGCACUUGGUAUAACACAA